rnacentral:rRNA from 1 species
UGGCCGCGGGAUUAGCCUCCUGCGACUCUAACGAUCUUUUGAUCCUGGCAAACGGCUCUUUAACACGUGGAUAACCUAACCUUACGACUGGAAUAACCCCGGGAAACUGGGGACAAUGACACAUAUGUGGGGCUGCCUGGAAUGGUACCUCAUUGAAAUGCUCCGGCGCCUAAUGAUGGAUCUGCUGCACAUUAGGUAGUUGGCGGGGUAAAUGCCCACCACGCCAGUAAUCUGUACGGGUUGUGAGAGCAAGAACCCGGACCAUGGAACCUGAGACAAGGUUCCAGGCCCUACGGGGCACAGCAGGCGCGAAACCUCCGCAAUGCGAGCAAUCACGACGGGGAAAACCCAAGUACCACUCUUAGCGGGGUGGUUUUUCUGAAGUGUAAAAAGCUUCAGGAAUAACAGCUGGGCAAGACCGGUGCCAGCCGCCGCGGUAACACCGGCGGCUCGAGUGGUGGCCGUUUUUAUUGGGCCUAAAGCGUUCGUAGCCGGCUUGAUAAGUCUCUGGUGAAAUCCUACAGCUUAGCUGUGGGAAUUGCUGGAGAUUACUAUCAUGCUUGAGGCCGGGAGAGGCUGGAGGUACUCCCGGGGUAGGGGUGAAAUCCUAUGAUCCCGGGAGGACCACCUGUGGCGAAUGCGUCCAGCUGGAACGGACCUGACAGUGAGUAACGAAAGCCAGGGGCGCGAACCGGAUUAGAUACCCGGGUAGUCCUGGUCGUAAACGAUGUGAACUUGGUGAUGGGAUGGCUCCUAGCUGCCCCAGUGCCGAACGUAAGCUGUUGAGUCCACCGCCUGAGAGAUACGGUCGCAGACUGAGCUUAUCGAUUGGCGGGGAGCAAUCACUAGUGCGCCGCCUGCGGUCGACAUAU